AUCCCCCAAACAAGAAUUUCAUAAGUGCUCAUUUCCCUACUUUGCACUGAAUUCAUCUCUUAAAACACACUGCUUUCCUAAAAUAUGCUAAUUACAUAGCAUUUCUUGAUGAAAAAAAUUUUCCUGUGGCUUUCUUGUGUUUAUGGAAUAAAAUUCAGUGUCCCCAGACUGGAGUUCUUGUGAGGAACAGUCUUGUGCUGUGUACUGUUAGCUGCAUGUCCUGUGUCACGAUUAAAUAGACCACUUGGCAUGACCUGACCUGGGCUUUCUUGCUCUGCAUCUUGAAGCCCUGUGCCUUGCUUAGGCUCCUCAUAUGGUCAGCGUCUCUCAAACUCUUCACCUGAACUCAGAACCUUGGAAGGCGCUCACCUGCAAGUAUUUGAGAGCACAGCUAUCUGGUCAUUUCCUACCACAUGGGGGUGAAACCUAUGAAGCGGGAGGGUACCCCUUCUUUGCUGGCUGAUCUAAUUAUCAUUUAAUCAUCCUUAUUUUAAGCCUCACUGUGGUUUCAGAUAGAUUUGAUUUGGGUUCUUUCUGUUAAAAAUGACAUAAAUGAAAGUCAGUCAUUACUUCUGACAGUUUUUUUUUCAAAUCUUUGAACAUUACUGUGUCUAUAAUUUCUCUGAUUUUACAACCGAAUUCAGCCCAAUUACUAUUACCUGGGUGGGGGGGGUACUUGUAUGUUAGAUAUUGUGCCAUUAUCACACAGACACAAUUGAAAACAUGUAUGUUUGGCCCCUGUCCUUACAGGACACUCAGGCAAACUGUGGGGGCAAGUGGGUUGGCACAUGCUGAGAGCGACAGGUAGAUGUUGCCAUAGCAGAGAGGAUUGUAAAAACACUGGGGGAGACUCAAGGGGCGCCCGUGUUGAGGCUGAAGGUGGACUCCAGGAAAUGUGCCCAUCCUCAGCCUCUUAGGCUAGACACAUCCUUCUAGGGACGAAGCUGCCCUUUGGCCUGGACCUGGCAACCUUCCGGAAGUAAGAGCCUAGAUCUUAUUCACCCCACUGUCGGAUUUCCCGUGUUAUUAGUACAUUUCUGCUUUGAUAUAUCACCGUGUAACUAAAGUCUGUUGCGGAUGAAGCAAAGAUUCCUUCUUCUUAAAAUAUAGUGCUUAAGGAGCUUUAUAUAAAGCUGAAGUGCGAGUCUAUGAUAUUUGAACCCACACUCCCCCAUGUGGACCCCGGAAAGAAAGGAGUGCCAAGGCUGUGCCCUUCCAAUGCUGCUCUGACAGAACCCAGCUGUACCUCCUCAGAGAUGUUACCACACUCUUGGUUCUAAUUUACUUAAAAAUAACAGGUAAUUAAUUAAAAUGCUCUCUGUGGCUCAGCUUUUAACAUUAGCAGUUAAGCUCCGUGAAAAUCACAUUUCCCAGAAGCCUCUGGGAGCGGCUUCUUACGGCUCCCAACUUAGUAUGGCUGAGAGCAUUGCCGGGAUGGUCUCUCCCCUCAGCCUUCUCAUUUAAGACUCAUGAAUAGGAAAAGUCUCUACUCACCUCAGGAGGAUUUGGACUAAAAGUCCAUGCCUUUUCAAAGCUCUCCUCCCCACAGAAGAGAUGAGUGCCUUCCCUGAGUAGCAAGCUUGUGAGGAGGUCAAGUUAUGGGGCCCAGACACAAAUCUCCCCCACCAAUCCACUCCUCGGUGGCAAAGACUACCUUGGGAGCUUGCGUUUUUCUUUCAUUUUCUGGCCUGAGUAUGACUCGAGUUCUGGACGAUACCUGUAGAUACAAAUGUCCUCUCGGACGAAUCAUUCUAAAAUGGAAGCCUUGGAAGAGGUCUUAGUGAGCCUGGCUGUAGCCAGAGUCAAGCUGCAGUUGCCCACAGUUACACAGCUUUCUCCAUAACAGCUAGUAUGGUGCUCCAAGCUCCCAGCCCACCUCUCCUCUGUGCCAUCUCCUCUCGUCACAGUUUGAAGGCAGAACAGGGAUGGACAAUGCCGAGGAGUGGAUAAAUAUCACCCCUCGGAGGGUUUAGAGGAAAGCAGAACAAGGAAGCUUGCCAGGUAGAGGCCCGUUUCCAGCUAGCAUGUUUGAAGGAGGGGUCCCCUCUGGGGGCUGAGGCAUUCGAGGCUUCUGUGGGUUCUCAGCUGGCCACCCAUUUCUACUACUCAUUGGAUUUAGUUUCUGGCCUGCUGAGAAGCUACAAUGAAGGUUGUACUGCCCUGCCUUUAAAUCGGUUUCUUUCUUAGCCUCUGUACCUUUCUCUUCUAUCGAGCAUCCUCCUUCCUUCCACCGGGAGGGAGUCAUCUUUCCACCUGACUCAGGUAGUCAGAGAUGUUAAGGGCAGUUGUGAUGAGUUCCUUAGAUCGGUAAAGAAACCAGUACAGAUAUGUGAUUAAGUAGACUCCACGUCUAAAGGGCACCCUAGAUCUAUCUCUUCGGGUCACAUGUGAUAAAGACGGCCUUGGUCCCCUGCUCUCAGCAGCUAGUUGACAGUUUUGAUUCUGAGACCACUGGGGGUUGUGGACUCUUGGGGUUGAGUUUCUCCGCUCCAUCUGAACAGGCAGGGCACGUGAACACGAAGUAGCUGUGGUGACAGACAGCACAGCACGUGGGCUAAAGCACCUGUUUGGAUACUCAUCCUCCUGCCUUUAGUGAUGUCACCUUGAGCAAUCGAUGGAAACCUCUCUGUGCCUCAGUUUCCCCGUCUAAUCUCAUAAAGUUCCUUGGAGAAUUUAAGAGGCUGAUAUUUCUUUUUAAUAUUUAUAUAAAACAAUACUUAUAAAUAUAUGUGUGUAGUAUGUAUAUAUAUAUGAUAUAAAUAUAUAUAUAAACACAGUUUAUCCAUAAUCAGCUGUAUUUGUAUUCAAUAACUAACAGUGAAGAUGU
rnacentral:lncRNA from 1 species